rnacentral:rRNA from 1 species
UGGGGAAUUUUGGACAAUGGGCGAAAGCCUGAUCCAGCAAUGCCGCGUGUGUGAAGAAGGCCUUCGGGUUGUAAAGCACUUUUGUCCGGAAAGAAAUCCUCUGGGUUAAUACCUCGGGGGGAUGACGGUACCGGAAGAAUAAGCACCGGCUAACUACGUGCCAGCAGCCGCGGUAAUACGUAGGGUGCAAGCGUUAAUCGGAAUUACUGGGCGUAAAGCGUGCGCAGGCGGUUUUGUAAGACGGAUGUGAAAUCCCCGGGCUUAACCUGGGAACUGCAUUCGUGACUGCAAGGCUAGAGUAUGGCAGAGGGGGGUUAGAAUUCCACGUGUAGCAGUGAAAUGCGUAGAGAUGUGGAGGAAUACCGAUGGCGAAGGCAGCCCCCUGGGCCAAUACUGACGCUCAUGCACGAAAGCGUGGGGAGCAAACAGGAUUAGAUACCCUGGUAGUCCACGCCCUAAACGAUGUCAACUAGUUGUUGGGGAUUCAUUUCCUUAGUAACGUAGCUAACGUGUGAAGUUGACCGCCUGGGGAGUACGGUCGCAAGAUUAAAA